rnacentral:misc_RNA from 1 species
GUUCCAGAACCGCUUUCGCAAUCUCAUCCACCGCCGCUCAAAACAUGUCCAGAUCCGGCGGAAAAGACCGGGCGACCUCCCUACCGAUUGAAAAUCCGAAAUGACCGCCAUUUGGUCAGUCCAAUCAGGAACCAGAGCCGCGGGGCGACUGCGCACCAUUUUCCAUUCGCCGUGAUCAUAGGAUUCAAGGAAGUGCGUUUCGAAGGCGUU